rnacentral:miRNA from 1 species
GUGUGUGUAUAUAAUGCAGUUUGUUUGUGUAGUGUGCAUUAUAUAUACACACUAUACAAACACACUGCAUUAUAUACACACAC